AUUUGUAGAGAGAGAAAGGGGGAGAAAAGCAAGGGAAAGCUACCAAAACCACCAUCACAAAAACCUAGUCCUAGGGUGUCCUAUAAAGAGAGAAAAAGCGAGAAUUCAUUUAUAUAUAUAUGCGUAAGAUACAGUGAGAGAAGGAUUGGGUGCAGAGGUGAAAGAGAGAGAAAGAGAGAGGGGCAAAGGAAAGCGGUGGAGAGAGCAAAAACCCGGUUGGGAAAAAGGGUUUUUAGAGAGAGGGAACCAGGCAGGAAAAGGGAUUUUAGGAAGAGGAGGGAGCCCGGGUUGAGAAGAGGGAUUUUAGUGAGCGACGAGGAGGGGGCCCAGAUAGAAAAAAAGGGUUUUUGGAGAGAGAAGGAGGCGACCCAGAUUGAAAUUCAGGGGCUUUGGAGAGAAAAAGAGGGUUGCUGAGGUGAAAGGGA
rnacentral:lncRNA from 1 species